rnacentral:lncRNA from 1 species
UACAAAGGUAAUGAGUUCUGAACUCAUCUGAUUAGAUCUAAUGGUUAGAUCGAUCUAGGGCAUCGAUGUGAUCGAUGCAGUUUUUUCUUUAUAUCAGAUAAUUUUGUAUGAAAAUUUCAUAUCACAGAUCCUUAGUAGGUAGUUUAGAUUUGAUCUAAAAUAUGCAUAGGAGAUUAAAAUAUUUAAUCUAUUAUCUUUCGCUAUGCAAAAUUUUAAAAAUGCAUGCUUUGAACUGUCGAUUUUCUUUCACUGAAAAAAUAUUUAUAAUUGAACU